GAUGAACGCUGGCGGCGUGCCUAAUACAUGCAAGUCGAGCGAACGGACGAGAAGCUCGCUUUUCUGAUGUUAGCGGCGGACGGGUGAGUAACACGUGGAUAACUUACCUAUAAGACUGGGAUAACUUCGGGAAACCGGAGCUAAUACCGGCUGAUAUUUUGAACCGCAUGGAUCAAAAGUGCAUGACGGUAUUGCUGUCACUUGGAGAUGGAUCCGUGUUGCAUUAGCUAGUUGGUAAGGUAACGGCUUACCAAGGCAACGAUGCAUAGCUGACCUGAGAGGGUGAUCGGCCACACUGGAACUGAGACACGGUCCAGACUCCUACGGGAGGCAGCAGUAGGGAAUAUUCCGCAAUGGGCGAAAGCCUGACGGAGCAACGCCGCGUGAGUGAUGAAGGUCUUCGGAUCGUAAAACUCUGUUAUUAGGGAAGAACAUAUGUAUAAGUAACUGUGCACAUCUUGACGGUACCUAAUCAGAAAGCCACGGCUAACUACGUG
rnacentral:rRNA from 1 species